UUAAGGUAUUAGUUUAAAUUAAUAAGAAAGAGAGAAAUAAAAAAUGUGAUCUAGAGAAGUGCGUGAUAUAUACCUUCCUCUAUUAUUUCAUUUGGUUGAGAUUCUAAUUGUAUAUCUUCAUUUAUUGGUUGUUGCUCCAAUUCAUGUUCAACUUCACCAUGUCCUGUUAUAAUGGAAGGAGUCUGAAUUUCCAAAAUUGCUUCUUGUGUCAUUUCAUUGGUAAUAGGAGAUUCCUUGUCUGUGGUGUGUCGCAUCUUUUCUAGCUGCUUUUGCCGAAAUAAGCGAAAGGAAGAUAUAGACCCCGGAGUACAGUACUCCUUUUCUUGUGUCUUUCCCUUUGGUUGUUGCUUUUGAGGGCGUGCAAUAUCCUUUAUCAUUUUCUGUUUUGCGGGUUGGGCAGUGACCAUGGAUUUUCGCUUGUUUUGCUCGACAUUUUCAGAUUGUGUAUCCUUUGCUCGUUGGUUCCUUUGACCAUUUUUAUGCACAAAACCCUCAUAGAUAGUGGUUGAGAUGAUGGGUGCUUCACUCCCUCUUUUUCCACCUGAAACCAUACAAAAAACAUGGGCACAAGAAGGAGGCCACUGAAGUUGAUAAGGGAUUUAAGCAUAAAGAGUUUGAGCUUGCUGACUUGAAGUUCCUGCUUGUAAUGGUUGACUGAUCAGUUAUGAAAUUGAAGCAGGAAUUUGAUGCCAUAAAAAAGAGAAUUGAAGCAAAAGAGGAGCUACAUGCCCGAGAAGACCACCUUACUGACAGAGAAAAGGUCUAGUGUGGGUUCAAACAAGUCUGACAAGACAUGACAGCAGGAAGGAAACAGUGAGUAGAAGCCAGAAGGUUCUGAAUAAUAGUUGUAUUGCAUUUCUUUUUUGUUUGUUAUCUAGGUGCUCUUGUGUUCUUUAUAAGAUAGUAGUAGAUGUCCUAAUUGUAUUAGAAAAUCUAAGCUGGGAGAACCUCGACAUUCGACAAAUUCUGCUACCCAUUGCUAGUUAUUUGAAAAUAAUAAUAGAGCAAACAACCCAGAGAGAGGUUGAACUUCAAACCGUUAUGAAAGGUAUAAUUGCAGGAAAUUUUUAUAUCUAUUUAACCUCUCCAUGCCCAUGGUCAUUUUCUUCUGCCAGAUCCAUAUAUGCAAAUGCUUGCAGUAGCAACAUAAUCAUAUACAGCCAAUUUUCUUUUCAAAUUUUGGAAGCAAUUACUGGUUCUCCUCUACUCAUUAUAUAAAGAAGGCACCAAAUGGUUGACAUGUAGUUAUCCAGAAGAAGACACAUAAUGAACACAGAAGUAUGGUUUUCUAGUUUAAAAUUGUGUUCAUUUGGAAAACAGCUCAUGUAAGCUUGUAUUUGAAAUGCCUAUCACUCUGCUUAUACAUAAUUAUAUGCCAUUAGAAACUGAUAAAAUUUAUGUUGUAUGUUAAAUUAUAGGGACACAAUUACAGCACCAGGCCCAUUACAUAUAAAUGACAAUUCAUUCCGUUAUGCUUGAGAAACUUGGAUACAAUCUCAAUGAAUGAUCUUCAACACUAAUAGAUUUUUCUGCUUAGACUUCAGAGUUU